AACGAACGCUGGCGGCAUGCUUAACACAUGCAAGUCGAACGAGACCUUCGGGUCUAGUGGCGCACGGGUGCGUAACGCGUGGGAAUCUGCCCUUAGGUACGGAAUAACUCAGAGACAUUUGUGCUACUACCGUAUGAUGUCGAAAGACCAAAGAUUUAUCGCCUAAGGAUGAGCCCGCGGUAAGAUUAGCUUGUUGGUGAGGUAAAAGCUCACCAAGGCGACGAUCUUUAGCUGGUCUGAGAGGGUGAACCGCCACCCCGGGAACGGGAAACGGCCCCAGACCCCUACGGAGGGCGGAAUUGGGGAAAUUUGACAAUGGGGCAAAAGCCUAUCCCGGCAAGGCGGGUUAGGGGAUGAGGGCCUUAGGUUUGUAAGGCCUUUUUACAAGGAUGAUAAUGACAGUACCUGGAGAAUAAGCUCCGGCUAACUCCGUGCCAGCCGCCGCCGUAA
rnacentral:rRNA from 1 species